AUUGAACGCUGGCGGCAGGCCUAACACAUGCAAGUCGAGCGGAUGAAGGGAGCUUGCUCCUGGAUUCAGCGGCGGACGGGUGAGUAAUGCCUAGGAAUCUGCCUGGUAGUGGGGGAUAACGUCCGGAAACGGGCGCUAAUACCGCAUACGUCCUGAGGGAGAAAGUGGGGGAUCUUCGGACCUCACGCUAUCAGAUGAGCCUAGGUCGGAUUAGCUAGUUGGUGGGGUAAAGGCCUACCAAGGCGACGAUCCGUAACUGGUCUGAGAGGAUGAUCAGUCACACUGGAACUGAGACACGGUCCAGACUCCAACGGGAGGCAGCAGUGGGGAAUAUUGGACAAUGGGCGAAAGCCUGAUCCAGCCAUGCCGCGUGUGUGAAGAAGGUCUUCGGAUUGUAAAGCACUUUAAGUUGGGAGGAAGGUCAGUAAGUUAAUACCUUGCUGUUUUGACGUUACCAACAGAAUAAGCACCGGCUAACUUCGUG
rnacentral:rRNA from 1 species